rnacentral:rRNA from 1 species
UACAGAGGGUGCAAGCGUUAAUCGGAAUUACUGGGCGUAAAGCGAGCGUAGUCGGUUAUUUAAGUCGGGUGUGAAAGCCCCGGGCUCAACCUGGGAAUUGCAUUCGAUACUGGAUAGCUAGAGUUCGGCAGAGGGAAGCGGAAUUUCCGGUGUAGCGGUGAAAUGCGUAGAUAUCGGAAGGAACAUCAGUGGCGAAAGCGGCUUCCUGGACCAGUACCGACGUUCAGGCACGAAAGCGUGGGGAGCAAACAGG